UAGGGAAUCUUCGGCAAUGGACGGAAGUCUGACCGAGCAACGCCGCGUGAGUGAAGAAGGUUUUCGGAUCGUAAAGCUCUGUUGUUAGAGAAGAACGUUGGUAGGAGUGGAAAAUCUACCAAGUGACGGUAACUAACCAGAAAGGGACGGCUAACUACGUGCCAGCAGCCGCGGUAAUACGUAGGUCCCGAGCGUUGUCCGGAUUUAUUGGGCGUAAAGCGAGCGCAGGCGGUUCUUUAAGUCUGAAGUUAAAGGCAGUGGCUUAACCAUUGUACGCUUUGGAAACAGGAGGACUUGAGGGAAGAAGGGGAGAGUGGAAUUCCGUGUGUAGCGGUGAAAUGCGUAGUUAUAUGGAGGAACACCGGUGGCGAAAGCGGCUCUCUGGUCUGUAACUGACGGUGAGGCUCGAAAGCGUGGGGAGCAAACAGG
rnacentral:rRNA from 1 species